rnacentral:rRNA from 1 species
AACGAACGCUGGCGGCAUGCCUAACACAUGCAAGUCGAACGAGACCUUCGGGUCUAGUGGCGCACGGGUGCGUAACGCGUGGGAAUCUGCCCUUGGGUUCGGGAUAACAGUUGGAAACGACUGCUAAUACCGGAUGAUGUCUUCGGACCAAAGAUUUAUCGCCCAGGGAUGAGCCCGCGUCGGAUUAGCUAGUUGGCGAGGUAAAGGCUCACCAAGGCGACGAUCCGUAGCUGGUCUGAGAGGAUGAUCAGCCACACUGGGACUGAGACACGGCCCAGACUCCUACGGGAGGCAGCAGUGGGGAAUAUUGGACAAUGGGCGAAAGCCUGAUCCAGCAAUGCCGCGUGAGUGAUGAAGGCCUUAGGGUUGUAAAGCUCUUUUACCCGGGAUGAUAAUGACAGUACCGGGAGAAUAAGCCCCGGCUAACUCCGUGCCAGCAGCCGCGGUAAUACGGAGGGGGCUAGCGUUGUUCGGAAUUACUGGCGUAAAGCGCGCGU